GGGCCUGUGCAACGCCCAUCCCGGGAGAGCGUACGGUUCGCAUCCGUAAGGUCGUCGGUUCGAUCCCGAUUAGGUCCACCA
rnacentral:tRNA from 1 species